ACACUGAACGAAAACUCCGGUCCUACAUUGAAUGAUUUGUAAUUCAAACGCUCUUAAAACUUCAUAUUACUCAUUUUGAAUGACAUUGGAAGAAUAUGAUGCAUCCACUUAAUAUUAAACAAAAAUCAUUCAAUUCAGUAAUGAAUUUCAGACCAUGUUCUAAUGACAUUAGGCUGAUAAUCGAAUUAUGAUAACAUAAAUGAACAACAUGCAGCUUAUGACAGAUUAUAAUAUUUACUAUGUCCCAUACCGAAAAUCAUUCAAUUAUAGUCUGAAAUAUCAGGCGGAAAGGGAAUAAUCAUAAAUAUCAAAUCAUUCUGGCAAAUCUAAACGUGAAUAUGGCGGCGGCAGCGUGGAACGUCAAACAUUUCUGCGUGGAUUUUGCAGGUACCAACCAACUACAAUCGCUGACAUCCAAGUGUUUUGGUUCGAUGGAGCAAAGCUGCGAAACUAAUUUAUUUGCAAGGAGCCACAUCACACAAAAUGUUCGCUGCAGGUAGGAAUCUGUUCCUGAAGGCAGGAGAUUGUUACAUUUGUGUUACCCCGUUAUAGAAAUAAACAUUAAUGCACAUAAACCAAUAACGUUUCGUACUUAUUAUUUUUUAUUUGAGUUCUUUGAAAAUAGGAAAUAUUACGAAUGGAGGGUUAUUUACAUGUGUGUAUGAUAAUCAUUCAAUCUGAGGCAUCUAUUUGGAGGAUAAAAAUCCUUCCAAUUCUGGAUGAUUUUCAUUCGGUAUGAUUUGUAAACAGAUGAUUUC